UGAAUUGGUUCGUUGUUUUAUUUGUUAUUUGCUCACGCGCCGCCGAUAAUUCUAAAGUUCUAAGCCAGUGCCUGUUGCUAUGACUAGUAGUCUUACCGAUUAGUAUUUAUCAACGCCAAUUAUUUAGAAGGUAGAUUGUCUUGGUAGCUGCAAUCAGACUUAGAUAUGCUUAAUCUGUGUUUGCGAAACUCCCUGAGGUUCAACCCUACGUCUUUUCAUCCCUUUAUCUCCGUUCUGCCCUCUCGCCUACAGUUACUCAAAAUCUCACAUGAUUUGAUCGGUCGUGGUUCAACCUUACCCUUCAAUGUUCAAGAAAAAUAAGAUGAAUGGAAUAUUCAUUUGUGCCAGAGUUGUGGGUAGAUUUCUAGUGGCUGAAAAUUGCUUAUCGAGUGGAUAGAUCGAUACAAAGAACUAAUAGAGUAAAAGACAUUGAAAACUAAACUUAAAUGCUUUUGAAGGGCUAGAGGUAAUGAAAAUGUUAAAAACAAUUUAAAGGCCCAAUUUGUCAUUUCCGUUUGAAAAAGAAAAGGACAUUGGUGAGUUCUUCAAGCUUGAAAUGCCAAGCAACUUCCUAAAUCAUUGAAGGGCUUGAGAUGUCUAUUCUCCCGUUGUCUUCUUACUCUUCACAAAGGUGGCUAAAUAAGUCGGAAGUCAAAUAAAAUCUGUAAACUCAUUUAGUUGUCUACGAAAAAAAUCAUAAUUUUUUCAACGGCUGAAAUUGGUUUAUUUCAUUUGAUUUUCAAACAAAUUUAAGAAGAGUAAAAGACAAUAGAAAUAAAAAAACAAAAUAUAUUUUAAAGGUCAUAUGAAUCAUUUGACUUUUCUAAAUAUCUUAUUAUCAUUUGAGAGAUGCUCUACGGGUGUUGAAGGGUUAGAAGUAAUGAAAAUGUUGUUGUGAUAAAUACAACAAAAAACAGAAACUAAAAAAAAAAAAAAAUUCAAAAAAUCAUAUCAACAAUUUGGUUUUUCCAAAUUUGCCUUGAAGAUGCUCUAGGUGUGUCUGGUAUCAUAGUACAUGUUGUUUUUUAAAAUUAAUUUUCAAUUAAAAUAUUUUAUUUUUAUUUUUUAUUAACAUAUAAAAAUCAUUCAAAAAUAUAUAAAAACAUCAAUUUAAUAUUUUAUUAAAUAAGAAACACCUAAAAGACUAGAAACUAUUACACUAUCAAAGGUCACUAAAUCUGACAGACAACAAUAAAUGGCUAUUAACAACAGUUAGUGGACUGAGUUAAGAAGGUUCCUCAGGUUCAGUUAAUCAGCCCAUUAUAGUCUAUAUUCAAGUUUGAAAUUCGCAAAAUAGUUGAAAGAAUAAUAUUCAAGGAAGGAGAUGACUCAUCUUUUGUGGAUGUUGUUGAUGGAAGAAUAAUAUUUGUCUUCGACGAGCUGAGAAAUCCUGUGUCAUUUGAUUACACCUUUUUUUGGUUGAAUUUGAAAAACAAAAUGCUAAUAAUUGAGUUUUCACACGACUCUAGCUAAGACGUCUCUUUCAAUUUUCGUAUUCUAUUUAACGCAUCUUACAAUUUCUUUUUGAUUUUUAUUAAAAUUUUACGAAUAUUCUUAGUACAAAUGGUUUUUAUAUUAUUUUCUUAAAUUUAGAGAAAUUACUGUUCAUAUUAGUUAUGAUGUAUUUUAUGUGGAUCUUAUUCCAUUGUCGACUUUACGUUGCUUGAAGGACAGAUUGCGAGAGAAACAAUGACCCUCCUGCUAUGCCCACAUACACAUGUUUAUCUAAAUUCAUUUUCAGCUUUACCAUUGAAGAAAAUAUCCACCAGAAAGAUCAGAAACUCAAUACGUGCUUUAUCGACCACACCAUCUGAGAUGGAACAGCCGAUGAGAGGGCAGAGGUUAAUGGAGUUUCCUCAUCUCUUGGCUCCUCACAAAGAUUUAAUGGCGGGUCUAAUCUCAGCCGUGGAUAAACGCCUUCAUGGUCAUCUCCUUCCUUCUUCAGCCUCAGUCCCUCCUGAUGCUGAAUACUAUCAGAACCAGAGUGGUGCUUCUCAAGGUUCUCUUUGCAUCAACCGUGGAGUCGAUUCCUCUCAUGUACUCUCUCUCUCUCCCUAUAAUAUUGUAACUAUAUAAUAUUAAAAAAACUGAUGAUUAAUUUAUUUUUUAUGGAAACCAGAUUGAUUUCAUAUUGACGAGUUGGCUCCACUUGUCCUUACCAAACGGAGGAGCAAUGGACAUCACUAACAUCCAAGGCUAUCUCAAAUCCUCAACAGAUGCACCACAUUUUCAAUUCGAGCUGGUCCAAUGCAGCCCAACAUACUUCAUCUUCUUUCUUGAUUUAAUUCCAAGGAAAGACCUCGUCCUCCACCCAGAUUACCUCAAAACUUUUUAUGAAGAUUCUCGACUCGAAGCACUUAGGAAACAACUUGAAACACAAGUCCUUGAAGCCAAACCCUACUUCUCAUCUUCCCUCUACUUUCGAAAUGUUGUUUCUCCCACGGGGAUUUUGGUUAGCAUAACAUGUGAGGACGGUGGGACGACGGAGCGUGCUGAAGAAAUUAUUCGCGACAAUAUUGAACCCAUAGCUAAUGAGGUUCUUGAACUAUGGAUGGAUAGUUGUGUUUGCAAAGGAGGAACGGCUACUAUUGAGGAAGAUGAGAGGGAUCAACUGGAGAAAAGGGAUCGAAUGAUAAAGAGUAGAGCAAUUGAGAUGGAUCUGAGCUCAAGCAUGCCUAUUCAAUUUGGACAAGAUGUGGCAGACAGAAUCCUGGGAGUUAUAAGAAGUGUUUUUAGGAUAUAAUCAUGUUUUCUUUAAUCCUUCUUAGUGAUCCAUGGAAGUGAAAAUUGGUGUAUGUUCAAAUCAAUCAAGAAGUUUAAAAGAAUUCAGUAGUUUUUAUACAAUAAUUGACAGUUAAUAUUGUAUUGAAAUUGUGAUUUAAAUUUCUGUAAAUAAAGUUAUUGCAUUAAAACAAAAAGGUAGGUUUCUUUAUUUUUUUUAUGGGACGUGUUUGGUUAUUUAAAAUCAAACGAAUAUAUAAAAGAAUAACUGAUGUAAAAUAUUUACAAGUGAAUCUAUCUUUUGCUUUUAUUAGUAAAAUUAAGUUUCUACUUUAGUAUUUAAUUAGUGUUAAAAAAUAUUUAUUUAUUUAUCAGUUUGUAUAUAUUUUUAAUUUAUUUUAUUAAGUGUACACACUAUCUUUGCAUUUCUCAAUUAAAAACAAUAAUUCAUGUUACCAUAAAGUGCAUCCAUAAUGUUGAUACCACAUGUAGUAUAGUGCAUGUGAAAUAACUAAUAAAAAUAAAAUCCAUUAUGAUAAUUGAUUAUGAUUUAUGUAUCUAUGAGAUGGCAUGCCCGUGCGUUGCCACGAGUUUAUAAAAUAAAUAUACUUGAUAGUAUUAUAAUUGUGAACCAACGCUAGAUAAGUAAUAAAAGCUAAAGGUAUGAUGGAGCUAAUAUUUCAUGACGGAAAAAAAGUUGUGUUGAUGAUAAAAAACUUAUAAACUGAACAAAAUGAUUUGUAGUAAUCCGCAAUGUUUUAUAAGGAAAGAUAUAGUGCUUUCACACAUGAUUUAGUUUUUCUAUUAAUAAAAAGCAAAAAAAUUACAAAAUUAAAUUCUCUACCAACUUAAUAUUAAAAAAAAAACCAACAAAGAUAAUUUUGAGGAAAAAAACCCAUGAGAAAAAACGUUGUAGCAAUUGACAAUGUUUUGUGAGGAAAACUACAGUAUUUUUUCCAAUAAAAAUGAAAAAGACAAUUUUAGAAAAAAUCAUAAAAAAAACCAUUUAGAGAAAUAUUGUAGUAAUUCACAGUGUUUUGUGAGAAAAGUUACAAAGUUUCCCAUAUGAUAUAGCUUAUUGUAAUUAUAAUUCUUAACCAACUCAAUAUUAAAAAAAAAUCGACAAAGAUAAUUUUGAAAAAAAUCAUAAAAAAAUCAUAUGGGAAAACAUACAACAAUUCAUAGUGUUUUUUUUUUUACAAAGCUACAAUGUUGGAAAAAAAAAACUUUCCCCACAUGAUUAAGUUUUAUUACAAAGUUAAAAUUUAACUAGCUCAAUAUUAAAAAAAUAAAAUCGACAAAGAUAAUUUUAAAAAAAUAUUACAAAAAAAAAACACAAAAGAAACUGGAAAAAAAUUGUGUGGAAAAAAACACUAUGGCAAUUCACAGUAAUUUGCGAGGAAAGUUACAGUGUUUUUCUCACAUAUUGUAACUGUAAUUUUUACCCAGCUCAAUAUUAAAAAAUUAAGAGAAAAUCAUAAAAAAAAAAAAAAAAACCAUGCGAGAAACACUGUAGCAAUCAACAAUGUUUUCAAGAAAAAAAUUACAAAACUAAAUUCUCAAUAGCUCAAUAUUAAAAAAAAAUCAACAAAUAUAAUUUUAAAAAAUAAAAAAAUAAAAUAGAAAAACCUUGUGGGAAAAAUACCGUAGUAAUCACAUAUUUUAAAGGAAAAAAAAUUAUAAAGUGAAAUUUUUAACCAGCUCAAUAUUAAAAAGUAAAAUCGAUAAAGAUAAUUUAAAAAAUAAAUAAAUAAGGGGGGAAAGUUGAAAAAAAAGGAAAGUAAUUUUAGAAAAAAAAAAAAAAAAAAGGGAAAAGUUGGGAAAAAAAAAGAGAAAAAAAAAAAAUGCAAUGUGAAUUAUUAUUUAAUUCACAGUGUAUUAGAUAUAGGUGAAUAGUAAAUUUCCCACACCCUUUAGCUUAUUACUCAAUAUAUAUAUAUAUAUAUAUAUAUAUUGUUCAUAAUUAUUUGAAUUUACUUACUAAAUAACAUAUGGUGAGAAGUUAUUUGGUGGUGGUGAUUUAUUUCUCUCACUUAUAUGUGUGUGUGUGACAAUUAGCAAAUUAAUAUAUUAAUUUUAUCCUUAUCAAUAUUAUAGCAUUGAAGACCAGUGUGUUAGUGAAUAAAAUUAAGGAAGCAUAAUAUAAUAUUUUUUAGAGAGAAAAAUGUAUUUUAUGAUUUUAAAAUUAUUCACAAAAAAUCAACACAAUGAAUUUAUUAAAUAUAUUGUUUAUCGUAUUUAAAAAUAGAUAAUUUUAAUGACAUUGUAAUAUAAACUAAAAGAUUUGGGUUUUUAAUCGUUAAUUUAUUUUGCACUCUCUUACAUUUUGUACAUGAUAUUGUUCACAUCCAAUUUUUCCUCUCUAAGUCCUUGAAAUUUUUAUUUUUUAUACUUCAAUCAUUAAACUUAAUUUGUUUUUAAUUGCAUAGCUCUCAUGCAAUGAUUUUAUAUUUUGUGAUUUAUUUUGAUUAGUAUGCAUUGCAUACCUAAUAUGGCAUUUGAUAUUCCUAGGUUAAAUUAAAGACAUAUUUAUGAAAUUGAAUUUAAGGUUUUCUUAAAAUAAAAGUUGAAAGAAAAGGAUUAAAAUUAACAUUUCAAGAAUAGAACCUUUUCCUAUUUUUAAAAGACAUGAAAAACUUUAAUUUGAUCAUAUAGUUUGCAUAUUUGAUCCUAUUUUUUUUUAACAUUUAUAUUUUAGUCAUUAAACCUUAUUUGUUUUGGAUUUCAGUCCUUAACUAUUAUUAAAAAAGAGAAAUUCAUUGGAAAAGACAAAGGAGAGAGAGAACUUUUUGGUGGCUAAAUUCUAGCCACUAAUAACUAGAGUCUUGGUGUCUACAGAUUUAUUUUUAAAAAACAAUUCAAUGAAUGUUGUUUCUACCUUUAACCAUGUUCAAAAAAAGAAAAUAGAAUAAUAAUAAAAAAAACAUUGUAGAGAUUUCCUUGUCAUGACAAGUUGGGAACUAAAGCAGUUAACCAUAAUUUUAGUGAUUCAAAUUUGUUAAUCCAAAAUCUAAACUAAUGGCUGUGAGCUUCUCUCCAAUUUUACAGUUACCACACUCGUUACCAUCUCCUCCUCCCCUCAAAUCCUCAAGAACAAAAAUAUCAGCCACUGCAUCACUCUCCUCCUCCUUCUCCUCAUCUUCAUCCGCGUCCCAAAUGGAUCUCCACAACCAGGGACGUCAGAAAUUCAUAGAAUUCCCAUUUGUCUCUGCACCACACAGGGAUCUCAUGGUUAAUCUCUUAUCAACGGUGGAGGAUCGACUUGGCUCACACCUCCUCCCUUGUACACUUCCCCUUGACGUACAACACUGCCAGAACGAAAGUGGGAGCGCCCAAGCUUCACUUCAUAUCAGAUCAGGUCUUCAGUCUUCCCAGGUAAUUUCCUCCAUCUCACUUCUUGGAGCACAGUUUGAAACUUUGAAUUGGUUCGUUGUUUUAUUUGUUAUUUGCUCAUGCGCCACCGAUAAUUCUAAAGUUCAAAGCCAGUGCUUGUUGCUAUGACUAGUAGUCUUACUGAUUAGUAGUUAUCAACGCUAAUUAUUUAGAAGGUAGAUUGUCUUGGUAGCUGCAAUCAGACUUAAUUAAUUAAUUAAUCCAUUUAGAUAUGCUUAAUCUGUGUUUGCUUUGUAGAUUAGUCUCCAUCUUACAUUUUGAUGGACCCUAUAUAUUGUGCUUGGCUGAUUCUUGAAAACUAGCAGUUUUGGCAUGCAUCCCACAAGAAUUUUUUUUUAGAAUUGGGCUAUUUCCCUCCUAAUUAGGGACAGUUUUGCACUCAGUUGGAUCACACAAUAAUAUGUAUGUCAAUGCUUUGUAUAGCUGGUACAGUGCUUAUCAGAUUUUGGUUCAGUUUGCUGUACUAGGUCUUGGAAUCGCAUGAAAAACUUGGUUUGAUUCCGUAACUGAGUAAUGCAUGAGGAACCUGGAAUAACCCUAAACUAAUUUUUGGGAGAGGGAUGGCUUCUUUAUCGAAUGCUAAUUUCAAAAUUACUGAGACAUAAUUUAUAUGUAGCAGCCAAGUACUGAACCUUCUUACUUAGUUAUGAGGAUUGAAGUCUUAUGUCGAAGUUGAAUUUGCAGCCUUUUCAUUAUAGUCUUUCUUUGGUUAUGGCAUCAUGCCCCAUGGAAAAUCCUAUAUUGUUAAUGGCUUCACAUGAAACAGCCUGCAUUUUCACUGUUGUUAUCAAUCUGAUGGUAGUUAUUUUUGUUUCUCAACUUCUCAAAAAUGUAUUAAAAUUUAUAGAAAAAAAUCUAAUUGAAAGCUGGACAUUUUUCAGGUCGAUUUCAUAUUGGGAAGUUGGCUGCACUGUAAACUACCUACCGGCGGAGCAUUGAACAUAACUAGCCUGUCCGCCUAUCUGAACCCUUCAACAGAUGCACCAAAUUUCAUGAUUGAGCUAAUCCAGAGUAGUCCAACAUCACUGGUCUUCAUUCUUGACUUGCCUCCACGGAAGGACCCUGUCCUUUCUCCAGACUAUCUUCAAACUUUCUACGAGAACACCCAGUUAGACACUCAUAGGCAGAUGCUUGCGAAACUCCCCGAGGUUCAACCCUACAUCUCUUCAUCCCUUUAUCUCCGUUCUGUCCUCUCACCUACAGUCGUUAUGAUUCAAAUAGGAUCUGAAGCGGGUGGACCAGAACGAAUGGAGGAGAUUGUAAAAAAUCACAUAGAUCCUACUGCCCAGGAAGUUUUAGGGAUUUGGUUGGAUCAUUGCGCCUGUGGAGAAAGAUUGGUGGGAGAGGAAGAGAAGGCUUAUAUGAUGAAGCGAGAUGAGCUAAUAAAGAAAAAAACUAUUGAGAUUGAUCUAGGCACAAACUUUCCAAGAUUGUUUGGUCCAGAAGUCACCGAUAGAGUAUUGGGAGCCAUACAAAAGGUUUAUAACAUCUGACUUCUGAGGCUGAUCCCGCUUGAGAAUCAAGAUUGAAUAUUAUCGUUAUGCUAUGGAUCUACAGAAGAAAAAUAAAAAGGAAUGGUGUGCAUUAGUAAUUUAGUAUAGUUUUACCUCCAUUUCACAUGCAGAAACUUAGAUGCAACCUGCAAAAAACAUAUUUUAAUUGCAGUGUACAUUUGGUAGAGCAGAAUGUAACGCAAUAGGAAGAAAAUAAUGAUUUUUUCUUCUUUUCUCUUCCAUUUUCUCACAUUUCAUCAAAAAGCACUCAAAAUCUCACAUGAUUUGAUCGGUCGUGGUUCAACCUUACCCUUCAAUGUUCAAGAAAAAUAAGAUGAAUGAAAUAUUCAUUAGUGCCAGAG
rnacentral:lncRNA from 1 species